UCGGAUCAGGUAGGGAUACCCGCUGAACUUAAGCAUAUCAAUAAGCGGAGGAAAAGAAACCAACAGGGAUUGCCUCAGUAACGGCGAGUGAAGCGGUAACAGCUCAAAUUUGAAAUCUGGCCUCACGGUCCGAGUUGUAAUUUGUAGAGGAUGUUUUGGGCACCGCAGCCGGAUAAAUUUCUUGGAACAGAAUGUCAUAGAGGGUGAGAGUCCCGUCUUGACCGGCUGUAGGACCUGUGUAAAACUCCUUCGACGAGUCGACUUGUUUGGGAAUGCAGGUCAAAAUGGGUGGUAAAUUUCAUCUAAAGCUAAAUAUUGGCCAGAGACCGAUAGCGCACAAGUAGAGUGAUCGAAAGAUGAAAAGCACUUUGAAAAGAGAGUUAAACAGCACGUGAAAUUGUUGAAAGGGAAGCAUUGGCAACCAGACUUGCCUGGGGAGGCUCAGCCGGCACGUGUGCCGGUGCACUCCUCCCCGGCAGGCCAGCGUCGGUUUGGGCGGUCGGUCAAAGGCCCCGGGAACGUAGCACCCUUCGGGGUGCCUUAUAGCCCGGGGCGCCAUGCGACCUGCCCGGACCGAGGAACGCGCUUCGGCUCGGACGCUGGCGUAAUGGUUGUCAAUGGCCCGUCUUGUAACACGGACCAAGGUGUCCAGCACAUACGC
rnacentral:rRNA from 11 species